rnacentral:rRNA from 1 species
GAUGAACGCUGGCGGCGUGCUUAACACAUGCAAGUCGAACGGAGUUUUAGUAAUUGAUUGAUUUAGCUUGCUAUUGAGAGAUUUUGCUAAAACUUAGUGGCGGACGGGUGAGUAACGCGUGGGUAACCUGCCGUAUACAGGGGGACAACAGUUGGAAACGACUGCUAAUACCGCAUAAGCGCACAGUACUGCAUGGUACAGUGUGAAAAACUCCGGUGGUAUACGAUGGACCCGCGUCUGAUUAGCUGGUUGGUGAGGUAACGGCCCACCAAGGCGACGAUCAGUAGCCGGCCUGAGAGGGUGAACGGCCACAUUGGGACUGAGACACGGCCCAAACUCCUACGGGAGGCAGCAGUGGGGAAUAUUGCACAAUGGGGGAAACCCUGAUGCAGCGACGCCGCGUGAGUGAAGAAGUAUUUCGGUAUGUAAAGCUCUAUCAGCAGGGAAGAAAAUGACGGUACCUGACUAAGAAGCCCCGGCUAACUACGUGCCAGCAGCCG